GACGGAGGAUGCAAGUGUUAUCCGGAAUCACUGGGCGUAAAGCGCGCGUAGGCGGUUACUUAAGUCAGAUGUGAAAGCCCAGGGCUCAACCUUGGAACUGCAUUUGAUACUGGGUGACUGGAGUAUACUAGAGGGGGGUGGAAUUUCAGGUGUAGCGGUGAAAUGCGUAGAGAUCUGAAGGAACACCAGUGGCGAAGGCGACCCCCUGGACAAAGACUGACGCUCAGGUGCGAAAGCGUGGGGAGCAAACAGG
rnacentral:rRNA from 1 species